rnacentral:antisense_RNA from 14 species
UGUAGCCAAAAAUGACAGCUGGACUGGUUGUUGGAUUAGUAAUCACGCGAACAUCACCGCCGCCUGGUGCCCAUGUGUCAUAAACGCCACCCAAGUAACGAGCUUUGAGAACCAACAGCAAAGCACCAAGUCCAAGAAGCACAAGGUGAAUUCCUAAAAUGGUAGUCAUUUUGUUCUUAUCUUUCCA